rnacentral:lncRNA from 1 species
UUACCACCAACCGCUAAUGAUACGGUUAUGAAAAGAAUGACAGCAGACUCGUGUUGUGCUGAAUGAUCAUAGCGAGGAAUAUUCAAGUUGAUAUUAAGGCCACAUUGCCCUCCGGUACAAUUGGUUAAAUUCAUAGGAAUUUUUGCUAGAACAACAUCUUUGACAUUAUCAAGCAAAGAUGUCCUCAGCAAGUACUGUGCUGGUUUUAUUUAAGUGCAUUGUUUACGCAGGAAGUUCGGCCAUUAGAAAUUACGUGUGACGUCAUGAUUAAC